rnacentral:lncRNA from 1 species
UAAAGAUGACAGCCACCUGCCAGCGUUCUUGGGAAGAGCAAAUGAGAAACAGAGCCCUGGAUAAUGUGCCCAAUUACAAACAGCAUUUCCCGGCUUCCCUUGUGGCUGACUACGCCACAGGACUGCGUUCUCACCAACGUACGUGGAAGGGUGGCAGGGCACUUCCAAGGAGUCUUCUUAAAGAGACCUGACUCAACGGGAGGUGAGCCCCUUUUGUUCUUUCUUCCUUCCUAUUGCCUGGAAGGUAGGCUUGAUGGCUGGAGCUCCAGCAGCCAUCUUCGACUAUGAGAUGACUUUGAGAAUGGAAGCCAUAUGCUGGGAGAAUGAAAUAGAAAUAUGGAAGAAGCUCGAGUCCCUGAUGACAUCACAGAGCCACUGUGCCAGCCUUGGGCUGCCUAUUUCCAGGCUUCUUUUACAUGAGGAAGAAAUAAACUUGUAUCCUGUUCAGUACACU